rnacentral:piRNA from 1 species
GUUGUGCCUAGAGGAACUGUUUGGGA